rnacentral:rRNA from 1 species
UACGUAGGUGGCAAGCGUUGUCCGGAUUUACUGGGCGUAAAGAGCGCGCAGGCGGUUGGAUAAGUCGAAUGUGAAAGCCCCCGGCUCAACUGGGGAGGGUCAUUCGAUACUGUCCGACUCGAAGGCAGGAGAGGGAAGCGGAAUUCCCGGUGUAGUGGUGAAAUGCGUAGAUAUCUGGAGGAACAUCGGUGGCGAAGGCGGCAUCCUGGACCGGUAUUGACGCUGAGGCGCGAAAGCCAGGGGAGCAAACGGG